UUCCUACGGGGGGCAGCAGUGAGGAAUAUUGGUCAAUGGGCGAGAGCCUGAACCAGCCAAGUCGCGUGAAGGAUGACGGUCCUAUGGGUUGUAAACUUCUUUUGUCAGGGAGCAAUUGGGUCCACGCGUGGGCUUAGCGAGAGUACCUGGAGAAAAAGCAUCGGCUAACUCCGUGCCAGCAGCCGCGGUAAUACGGAGGAUGCGAGCGUUAUCCGGAUUUAUUGGGUUUAAAGGGUGCGUAGGCGGACUCUCAAGUCAGCGGUAAAAAUCCGGGGCUCAACCUCGUCG
rnacentral:rRNA from 1 species